CCAAAUUGCUUUAUUAGAUGUGCAUUAAAAUAACGAUCAACGUUUCAGCCCCACUCUGGACUUUCUUCAGGAUCAGGAAAAUACAAUAUAUUGUGGGGCUGAAACGUUGAUCGUUAUUUUAAUGCAUAUCUAAUAAAGCUAUUUGG